UACGGAGGGUGCGAGCGUUAAUCGGAAUCACUGGGCGUAAAGGGCGCGUAGGCGGCCGAUCAAGUCAGAUGUGAAAGCCCACGGCUCAACCGUGGAUGUGCAUCUGAAACUGUUUGGCUUGAGUAUCGGCGGGGGAGAUGGAAUUCCCGGUGUAGAGGUGAAAUUCGUAGAUAUCGGGAGGAAUACCGGUGGCGAAGGCGAUCUUCUGGACGAAUACUGACGCUGAGGCGCGAAAGCGUGGGGAG
rnacentral:rRNA from 1 species